rnacentral:lncRNA from 1 species
UUUGGGGCAUCUUCGGGCCCCUGCUCCCCUCCCACCCAGCCUCCCCUUCUGCACUCCCCUCCUGCUCAGGCCACAGCAGCAGCAGUAGGUGACAUCUGGAGAGUCUUCAGGCAGCUUUGGGAGGGGGCGAAGGCAGAGGAGGCCACGGGUGUUUGCAGAAUGUGUGUGUGUACGCAUGUGUGUGAGAAUGUGUGAGACUGUGAGACUGUGAGUGUGAGUGCCUAUAGGUGUGAGCAUGUGGUUGUGUGUUCCUGUGUGAAUGUGUGAGUCUGCAUUUGUGCAACAAUGUGUGUGAUGUGAAGGGUAUGAGACUUGUGAAGAUGGAUGUGUGUGAGGCUGUGGGGCUGUGUGAGGGUGGGUGGGAGUGUGCAAGGCUGUGGGGCUGUGUGAGGAUGAGUGUGUGAGACCAUGUAUGAGCAUGCGUGUGACUGUGUGAGUGUGACAGAGCAUAAGUGUGAGUGUUGAGUGUGAGUGUAUGUCCUGGGGACAGGGCCCCUGUUUGCUGAGAAUGCACGUGUGCUCCAGGCCUGGCCGCCGUUCUCUUCCACCCUGCUCCUCCUGCCCUAAGUUCUCUCCUUUCACACUUCACACCAGGGUUACUUCUCUCCCCUCCCAAAUUCC